UACGGAGGGGGCUAGCGUUGUUCGGAAUUACUGGGCGUAAAGCGCGCGUAGGCGGCUUUGUAAGUUAGAGGUGAAAGCCCGGGGCUCAACUCCGGAACUGCCUUUAAGACUGCAUCGCUUGAAUUGUGGAGAGGUAAGUGGAAUUCCGAGUGUAGAGGUGAAAUUCGUAGAUAUUCGGAAGAACACCAGUGGCGAAGGCGACUUACUGGACAAAUAUUGACGCUGAGGUGCGAAAGCGUGGGGAGCAAACAGG
rnacentral:rRNA from 1 species